rnacentral:pre_miRNA from 1 species
CUAGAGGGUGGCAAUCUAACCGUUACCAUUACUGAGUUUUAGCAAUGGUAAGGGUUCUAUUGACGCCUCUCAA